rnacentral:rRNA from 1 species
CACGUAGGGACCAAGCGUUGUCCGGAAUUAUUGGGCGUAAAGAGUUCGUAGGUGGUUAUCUAAGUCUGGUGUUAAAGACGGGAGCUCAACUCCCGCAUGGCAUCGGAAACUGGAUGGCUAGAGUGUGAAGGAGGUAACUGGAAUUCCUGGUGUAGCGGUGAAAUGCGCAGAUAUCAGGAGGAACACCGGUGGCGAAGGCGGCUAUCUGGACAGAAACUGACGCUGAGGCGCGAAAGCUAGGGGAGCAAACAGG